CGGAGCGUAGUAUACCGGCAGUAUGCGUGUUUUGGGUACACGAGGACCGGGUUCGAUUCCCGGCGCUCCGA
rnacentral:tRNA from 1 species